GAUUUUUUAUGUAUAUUCUCAUAAAGUGUUUCUACCAUACAGAAUCGGUAAACUACACUUCCGGUGAAACCCUCAACGAGUGAACACGUCGUAUCGUGUUAGUGCGGUGAAAAUUCAAGUAUUUCGCGAGAAAGAAAUAAUUUUCAUCCGUACUUCGGUGACUCCACGUUGUCACAUAGCGAGGGUUUCACUUGUAGUCCAGUGAAAAGAAAGUCCAUUGGACUAUAAACGAAAGCUAACUGGCAAUAUAGCUAAAUCGCAGUGCCAUCAAUCGGCGUCAUCUCAAGUGAGGUGACGCCACCAGAAGUGAAGAAGAAGAAGAAUCGGUAAACUAAUAUGUUAAAAAUUUACAAUUAAAUUUGAAGUUCUAGAUUAGUAUAAAUAAUCACACUGCUCAAAGACAUAAAUAUUUCAAAAUGUCAAAGUAGUCAUUGAGGUUUCUAUGCCCGGUGAAAAAUGAACGGCGGCCCUACUGAAAAAUGGAUGGCCAACACGUUUCCUGAUAAAAACAAAAGAAUAUGUAAAAGCGAUUCACACGCAGCAUCAAGCGACUAUCACCUGCAUGGAACGAUUACGGAACAACAACAUUAAUUGUAAGCAAUUCAUAUGAAAGGACACUACGUCAAGUUCACGGAAGAUUUUAACGUCGAAUACGUGAGCAAUAUUCGGCUAAAAAAAUUAAUAAAAAUAAUCUGGACGUCGACGGAAGUUGAUUGAUCGUCUGAAUCGUGUUUAAUGCAUGCGUUUCCUGAUGAAAACAAACCAAUCUCAUUUGCAUUUGUGGUUGCAAGUGAGCUGUCAGAGAGCCUAAUUGUCAUAAACACACUAAUUGAAUGUUACAUAAUAUCUAAAUAAAUAGUUCAUAGUAAAGCGCAGUUACACUGAAAGAAUUUAAUAUUCUGAACGCUGAUACAACAGUUUCUAGAUCCGGUUUUAACAUGAAUCAACGUCAAUCAUUGAUGUUUUGUGGUUUCAAUUAUGCUUACAGAAAAGCGCAACAUAAGGAUAUCAAAACUAAUGCGUUCAAAAGGAAACGGGUUUGAAUCACUAUUUUGCGCAUUCAAAAGUAAGAAGAAUAACUGUAUAUGAAAAUUAACGAAGAAAAAUUUAUUCAUUUUGAGAGCAAGGAACUCAAAUUUUGAGUUGAACUUACUUAAAUUUUGAACAAAAUAUUUUUCUUAUUUUGAGUAAAAAUUACUCAAGUUUUGACAAUUUCGUCCCUUACACGCUUAGAAAAAGUUACUCAGAGUUUGAGUACUAGUUACUCAUUUUCAAAUGAUACAUGGAAACGUCAAAAAUUGAGUAGUAUAAUAAUGAGUAACUCUCACUCUAAAUUUGAGUUUAUCGCAAAAACUCGUUUUUGUGUUACUUUUCGCAAGAUCAGUCUAAAAGUUGUAAUAACCAUUUGUAGCAACAGGUUCUAUUUUUUGUUAGUGAGAUCGCGUAUUUCAAGAGUCGCUUAACACAAACGGUGUUGUGUCUGCAAAAACCACAACUGUCCUCUUGGUUGUGCCAUCGACGCAGUUAUUGUGUCCAGGAAUCCGUACUGUGCUUCAGAAUGGAAACAAAUAUGCUCAAGUGUGGUUUUUAUGAGGAACAAGUGUCUGAUUUGUUGUCUGAGCAGUACUGACAUGUGUGUUAAACUACGAUUGACACACUACUCCAAGCGAUCGCCACUUGAUAUGAUAUCUCGAAGUUAGAAAUCAAUUGUAAACGGAAUAAUAAAUAAACACAGUAUGAUUAUUUAA